rnacentral:lncRNA from 1 species
GUGACACUUGGGCCACCCCCAUAUGCCCAGCACCUGGCUGGCAGCAGCUAUUUGCAGGAGUAUGGGCUGCCAUUCAUGGAGACCAGCGCCAAGAGCGGCCUCAAUGUGGACUUGGCUUUUACAGCCAUAGCAAAGGAGCUGAAACAAAGAUCCACCAAGGCUCCCAGUGAGCCGCGCUUCAGGCUGCAUGACUAUGUGAAGAGGGAGGGCCGAGGGGUCUCCUGCUGUCGACUCUGAACCUGGCUGAAUUUUGGUUCUACGCUGGAGGCAGCUGUUUGGGAUACCAUAGGUGAUGGAUGCCAGAAUGUCUUCCUUUUCAAGACACCUGAGGCUGAUGCUCUUCAGCCCCUUGGCCUCAGGGGCCAUCACAGAAAGCAUACAAACCACACUAUGGCCUGUGGCUGCCCUCUUCUGGGCACUCCCAGCAGGAAGGAUGGCACCACAUCGUGCCUCCUAUGAAAAGCCAUGCUUACUGCACACGGCCUGGGAAGGACCCCACACACGACCAAAGGCUACAAGAAUCAUGUUGUCCAUUUGUUGGGUUGCUUCCAAGUCAACUAGUAGGCUCUGAUGUAGGAAACCACAGGAAGAUUGGGCUGAUAGAACCAGGUCACUACUUAGCAGGCUGGCCCAGUCCUUCCCACCUUGUACUAAAGUCACCAGACUACAAAUGUUGUGUGAAAACCUGUCCCCAUUAAUAAAGGUGUUUCUGGAG